rnacentral:rRNA from 1 species
GACGAACGCUGGCGGCGUGCUUAACACAUGCAAGUCGAACGGAAAGGCCCUGCUUGCAGGGUACUCGAGUGGCGAACGGGUGAGUAACACGUGGGUGAUCUGCCCUGCACUUCGGGAUAAGCCUGGGAAACUGGGUCUAAUACCGGAUAUGACCUUCCAUGUAGUGUGGGGGGUGGAAAGAUUUAUCGGUGUGGGAUGAGCCCGCGGCCUAUCAGCUUGUUGGUGGGGUAAUGGCCUACCAAGGCGUCGACGGGUAGCCGGCCUGAGAGGGUGGACGGCCACAUUGGGACUGAGAUACGGCCCAGACUCCUACGGGAGGCAGUAGUGGGGAAUAUUGCACAAUGGGCGGAAGCCUGAUGCAGCGACGCCGCGUGGGGGAUGACGGCCUUCGGGUUGUAAACCUCUUUCGACAGGGACGAAGCUUCGGUGACGGUACCUGUAUAAGAAGCACCGGCUAACUACGUG